ACAUUGCUCUAAUUUGAGGGGAGAAAGGACUGAGUUGGGAAAAGGGACUAGUUAGGCCAAGUUGGUUGAAGUCCUUGGGUGGCCUAAGUUACAGGCCAGCUCUAAGAGGAGAGCUGGGACUCCUGAUCCAAAGAAAGGGUGAUCAUUUACAACCCAGCUUCGGGAGGAGGGCUAUCAUACUCCUGAAUAUGAGGGAAGGAAACAGGAGGAAAUGCUCUUGCCUUGUAGACCAGAUACACAGAACAUGGAUGGAUGGCUGAACAUGUAUGCUGCCUUUUCAGAUAGUGACCUUGGAUGGACUGACAGCAUUAGCAGGACUAUACAGGACACUAUUACAAUAUAUGAAUUCAGUCCUGCAAACACUUAGAGGAGGACAUCCUACUAAUGUACAUUGAAAUAAUGCGAGGAAAUUGGAGACUGUAACUGAUCAUCCUACUCCUGAUGGUAAAACAGACAUUGUUCUAGAUGGUGUGGAUGUGUCAGGGACUGAACCUGCUCAGGCUGUAAAUAAUAGGAGAUAAGAUCCUGGUAUGUGGGUUGAUUUCAGUACUGAUGAUGUAGCUUACUGGAUAGAUUGUGGACCAAAUCACUGUCAACACCACACUGGGGCAUUUGAGAAAUCACGUCGGACUUGAUGGCAAACAAACAAGAUAUUGUCCAAAAAAUAUGUUUCAGCAUGAAAGCGAAUGGUGAGAAAUACACUCGAGAAUGGCUACUGUAUUUACCAUCAACAGGGUCUGUGUACUGUUCUGUUUGCAAACUUUUUGCAUAUAAACCUUCAACAUCCCGGUUUGCUGCAGAUGGAUUUAGUGACUGGCGGAAUACUGUUUUAAUUGAACAACAUUAAAAUAGCACUAUUCACAGAGAUUCAAUGUUGACAUAUUUAAAUCAAAGACAGGGCUUUGGACUGACACAAAAAUUGGAAGAACAAAUUAAAGAGGAGCGUGAACACUGGCAAUAUGUCUUGCUGUGUGUUUAUAACUGUUAUUUAAAACAUUAGCUGAAUGUAGUCUGCCUUUCCGGGGAUCAAAUGACACAUUUGGAUCAUUGCAGAAUGGAAAUUUCUUGGGAUUAUUGGAGCUUGUGGCUCUGUUUGACCCAUUUUUAGCAGGCAAAAGUAACCCAUCAUACUUAUCCAAGACAAUAUGUGAUGGACUCAUUGGUCUAAUGAGUGACAAAGGUCGUUCAGCUAUUGUGGAUGAAAUAAGUACUGCUGGGUACUUCAGUUUCUGCCGACUCUACACCUGAUUUUUCACAUAUUGAUCAGUUGAGUAUUGUACUAAGAUAUGUGUCUCCCACAGAUGGAAAACCAGUUGAAUGAGUUAUAACAUUCCUCAAUUUGAAAAGCCACACUGGUGAAGAAAUGGCAAAUCAAGUACUGCAUUCUGUGACAAGUUUGCAAAAUAGAUUUCUCAAAGUGCAGAGGUCAAUCUUAGGACAAUGCUGCCAACAUGUCAGGGGGUUAUCGAGGAAUGCAGGAGAAGCUCUUAGAACAGAACAAAUAUCCCAUAUUCAUACCAUGUGUUGCACACUCUCUCAAUCCUGUAGGCCGCAGUGCUGUUGGUGGUUGUUCGGUGGCAGUAAGGUUUUUCUCAA